UCCCAGCUGGCUCAGUUGGUAAAGAGUCUGGCUGCAAUGCAGGAGACCCAGGUUCGAUCCCUGGGUUGGGAA
rnacentral:tRNA from 1 species